UACAGAGGGGGCAAGCGUUGUUCGGAAUUACUGGGCGUAAAGGGCGCGUAGGCGGCCUGUUAAGUCGAACGUGAAAUCCCCGGGCUCAACCCGGGAACUGCGUCCGAUACUGGCAGGCUUGAAUUCGGGGAGAGGGAUGCGGAAUUCCAGGUGUAGCGGUGAAAUGCGUAGAUAUCUGGAGGAACACCGGUGGCGAAGGCGGCAUCCUGGACCGAGAUUGACGCUGAGGCGCGAAAGCCAGGGGAGCAAACGGGG
rnacentral:rRNA from 1 species